UACGUAGGGGGCAAGCGUUGUCCGGAUUUAUUGGGCGUAAAGAGCGUGUAGGCGGCUUUACAGGUCCGUUGUGAAAACUCGAGGCUCAACCUCGAGACGCCGGUGGAAACCGUAAAGCUAGAGUCCGGAAGAGGAGAGUGGAAUUCCUGGUGUAGCGGUGAAAUGCGCAGAUAUCAGGAGGAACACCCGUGGCGAAAGCGGCUCUCCGGGACGGUACUGACGCUGAGACGCGAAAGCGUGGGGAGCGAACAGG
rnacentral:rRNA from 1 species